rnacentral:rRNA from 1 species
GUAGGGAAUAUUGCGCAAUGGAGGCAACUCUGACGCAGCAACGCCGCGUGGAUGAUGAAGCUCUUUGGAGUGUAAAGUCCUGUCGCCAGGGAAGAAACGGUGGACGAGGAAAUGCGUCUGCCCUGACGGUACCUGGAGAGGAAGUUCCGGCUAACUCCGUGCCAGCAGCCGCGGUAACACGGGGGGAACGAGCGUUGUUCGGAUUUACUGGGCGUAAAGGGUGCGUAGGCGGGUUGGCAAGUCGGGUGUGAAAUUCCAUGGCUUAACCAUGGAUCUGCAUUCGAAACUGUUGAUCUUGAGUACUGGAGAGGUGAGUGGAAUUCUCGGUGUAGCGGUGAAAUGCGUAGAUAUCGAGAGGAACACCGUUGGCGAAGGCGGCUCACUGGACAGAUACUGACGCUGAGGCACGAAGGUCGGGGGAGCAAACAGGAUUAGAUACCCCAGUAGUCC